UUUUUUUUUUUUUAAUCUUUAUUAGGGCCGCACCUGCAGCAUAUGGAGGUUCCCAGGCUAGAGGUCAAAUCGGAGCUAUAGUCACUGGCCUACUCCACAGCCACAGCAAUGCGGAAUCCGAGCCUCAUCUGUGACCUACACCACAGCUCACGGCAACACCAGAGUCUUAACCCACUGAGCAAGGCCAGGGACUGAACCUGCACCCUAUGGAUACUAGUCAGAUUCUCUUUUACUGAGCCACAGUGGGAACUCCUGUUUUCAUAUUCUUUGGCCCCAGAGAGAGUAAGGACUUGAUGAGGUUGGCAAGAUGCUCAUAUAAAUCCAAAGGAAAAAUCUGAAGACCUCUCCCCACAAAAAGGGCAAGGCAAUCAUAAUAAGACUCUAAAGAAACAUAAUCAUGGUACAAUAUAUGGCUCAACUGAAAAUAACAUGUAUUCACCAUGAAAAUAGUAAACAUUGAUUCCACUUAAAAGUGUGCUAUAACUGUACUGGAAGGUAACAGGAUAAGAGAAAUAAGAACAGAGAAGGUGUUUUACAGGGCUGAGUCUUCAUCCUCCAAUAGGAUGUCAAGAAGGAAGUCUAACCCUCAAAAUAAAGAAACUGCAGUAUAAGAGCUCCCGUCAUGGCUCAGUGGUAUCGAAUCCGACUAGGAACCAUGAGGUUGCAGGUUCGAUCCCUGGCCUUGCUCAAUGGGUUAAGGAUCCGGGGUUGCUGUGAGCUAUGGUGUAGGUCGCAGACUCAGCUCAGAUCCUGCAUUGCUGUGGCUCUGGCGUAGGCUGGUGGCUACAGCUCCAAUUGGACCUCAAGCCUGGGAACCUCCAUGUGCCGCAGGAAGCGGCUCUAGAAAAGGCAAAAAGACAAGAAAAAAAAAGAAACUGCAGCAUAAAGAUGUGCUCAUUGGAAGUUUACUUAUAUAUCAUGAAAUUUGAAAGUAAUGAGUAAUUAUUAAGAUGCAGUAUGAUUUAGAAAUAUACACAUAAAUAGUACAACAAAAAAUAAGACAUAGAAGCUGAGAUCCUUAACCCACUGAGCCACCAGGGAACUCCUGAAGAAUAUUUUUUGUUAAUUUUAAUUUCAAGUUUCUUUUUCUUUUUUUUCCCCAUCUUUUUAUAGCCACACCCACAACAUAUGGAAGUUUCCUGGGCCAGGGGUCAAAUAGGAGCCACAGCAACACCAGAUCUGAGCUCCAUCUGUGACUUUCACCACAGUUUGCAGCAUGACAGAUCCUUAACCCAUUAAGCAAGGCCAGAGAUCUGAACCCACAUGCUCACAGAGACGACGUUGGGUUCUUAACCCAUUGAACCACAAUGAGAACUCAAUUUCAAGUUUUUUUCUUUAAGCAACAGAUAUACAAAAAGCUAGCCAACAUCUUAACGAUAAGAAUGUGUUUGAUGGUCUCAUAAAACAGCUAUUUCGCAAUACAUUUCAGAAAUUGCAGUACAGUUCAUGUCUUUCUUUCUUUAGGAUUCUUUUCCAGUGACUUUCUAAUGUCCCUCAGUCAAAACGCUUUAAACCCACAAAUGCACCAGGAACAAGUUCUAUUUCUCAUCUCUAUGGUCACUGGACUACCAGUUUACUUUAAAUCUACUGCUUAAACUCAGAAAUAUAUAGUACCACAGGGGAGUUGGAAACAGAAAUUAUGCCAGAAAGGAGCGAGAA
rnacentral:lncRNA from 1 species